AAUGAGAUGCCUGAUAAAAGGAUUAUUUUGAUAGAAUAAAUUAUGUAAUUUAUUUACUCUCAUUA
rnacentral:tRNA from 2 species